rnacentral:rRNA from 1 species
AUGAAGAUAACUCUUAAGAAUAAAAUCUUUGCAUGGUAUCUUCGUCGCGGAGUCAUUCUUACUAAAGAUAACCUUAUUAAGAGGAAUUGGCAUGAAAGUCCGCAAUGUGUCUUUUGUCACCAUGAUGAGACAAUAAAACAUUUAUUCUUCCAAUGCAAAUUGGCUCAUUCUAUAUGGCCGGUCAUCCAAAUAGCUUCUGACUUGUAUCCUCCUUGUAGUGUUGCUAAUGUAUUUGGCAAAUGGUUACAUGAGAUUGGUCACAGGUUUAGAACUUUUCUCAGGGUGUGA